AUUGAACGCUGGCGGCAUGCCUUACACAUGCAAGUCGAACGGCAGCACGGGUGCUUGCACCUGGUUGCGAGUGGCGAACGGGUGAGUAAUACAUCGGAAUGUACCUUGUAGUGGGGGGUAGCUCGGCGAAAGCCGGAUUAAUACCGCAUACGCUCUGAGGAGGAAAGCGGGGGACCUUCGGGCCUCGUGCUACAAGAGCAGCCGAUGCCAGAUUAGCUUGUUGGUGAGGUAAAAGCUCACCAAGGCGACGAUCUGUAGCUGGUCUGAGAGGACGACCAGCCACACUGGGACUGAGACACGGCCCAGACUCCUACGGGAGGCAGCAGUGGGGAAUUUUGGACAAUGGGCGAAAGCCUGAUCCAGCAAUGCCG
rnacentral:rRNA from 1 species